rnacentral:rRNA from 1 species
AUUGAACGCUGGCGGCAGGCCUAACACAUGCAAGUCGAGCGGCAGCGGGAAAGUAGCUUGCUACUUUUGCCGGCGAGCGGCGGACGGGUGAGUAAUGCCUGGGAAAUUGCCCAGUCGAGGGGGAUAACAGUUGGAAACGACUGCUAAUACCGCAUACGCCCUACGGGGGAAAGCAGGGGACCUUCGGGCCUUGCGCGAUUGGAUAUGCCCAGGUGGGAGUAGCUAGUUGGUGAGGUAAUGGCUCACCAAGGCGACGAUCCCUAGCUGGUCUGAGAGGAUGAUCAGCCACACUGGACCUGAGACACGGUCCAGACUCCUACGGGAGGCAGCAGUGGGGAAUAUUGCACAAUGGGGGAAACCCUGAUGCAGCCAUGCCGCGUGUGUGAAGAAGGCCUUCGGGUUGUAAAGCACUUUCAGCGAGGAGGAAAGGUUGAUGCCUAAUACGUAUCAACUGUGACGUUACUCGCAGAAGAAGCACCGGCUAACUCCGUGCCAGCCGCCGCUGUAACAC